rnacentral:lncRNA from 1 species
ACAAAUACCGCAACGAAAAUCUAAUUGUGAUUUAAAUCUAACUAAAUAUUAUUAUGAAAAUAAAUAAAUACAAACUUACAGAUAAACGCAAAUCCAAAUAAAUAUUUAAUUGAUCCGGAAGCGUGCGAGGCACUGCCCUAAGGCGUAUUCCCGUCCUUACGUGCAGGAUUAAUCGGAAACACCGCCCCAAGGUACGACCGGAAUUCCUCCUACUGCGAGCACGAUCGUGAGGGAGGUUGACGGAGACUCUUUCAACACCCAGCGAUAAAAACGAUCAAAUGGAGUGGAUGAGAUUAAUAAAGGAAAAAUUAAAAUUAAUUCUUGAGAAAACUAUUCUGUCAGUCAAAAGCUCUCUUGCCUCCCUUUUUUUCCCAACUGGGAGAGCUACAGUCGCACUUUAUCAUAUAUGUGAUGACAUAAUUAGAACGUUGGAGGUCCAACGUUCUUCUCGAAACGUCCGCGCGUCGGACGCGCGAACGUGCGAGUGGAGUGCGCAGAGAGCCGGUGCGCACGAUGCGCAAAACAAAACGUCUGCAAAAAUCUUCGGUUAAUAAUUUAAAAACAUAAUAAAUUAAAUAAUAAAUAAAUUAAAUAAAUAAAAGAAUAAUAAAAGUAAUUGAGAAAUUAUUGAAUUUUCUCCAACAAACCCCCACAAAAUUCAAAAUUUCGAAAUAAGAAUUAAAUACAAAAUAAAUCACCGGGUGUUUAUACUAUGCAAUAGGCGAGGUGUCUUUAAGAGACUUAACCCCACUUAGUGUAAAUAGUUUUCAUCAGAAGGAAUCGGAGUGAACCAGGUCUUGAACUACGUUCCUUUGUCCCUGACUUCAACUAUCACACACACAGAACAGAAUUCUCCGUCGCGGGUCUGUGCGUUAAUGGCCAUGCACAGUACCUUGAUUUUUCAUAAGAGCUUCUAUGGACAGCCCAUUCACAUAGCCGCGGCCACAUACGGAUACUCUUAUAUAGGUGGUUUCCUCCAGGGAUGUGUGUAGAGUCACAUCUCGCGAAAAUUAUCGCCUUGGAUCCCAUUAAGAGCUCUCAGCUCAACCUAAUCCACUACACAGAGCACUACUCACCAUAGGGAUGGGAUUGGAGCUAAAGCUCCUAUAUAAAAACUGUAGAAAGUGCUCUUUGGCCAACCUGACAGCUUGUUUUUACCACAUUGAACCUUCUUCAAGGGAUCUCCUAUCACAAAGGUUGGGUUCCCACUGCAGGAAGGCCCAUUAUGGGCAAGUCCCAUCCCCCUCGAUGAUAGUAGGACCAUAGUCCUCUUCAGGCCUUUCAUCAAGUAAUCUGCAAAAUUCUGAUCAGAUAGAUAAAACUCAAAGAGAUAAUAUUAUGAGAGGUUAGCCAUCUAACAAAUUUCUAUUUCAAUUUAAUAUAUUUGUUAACUUUAGAAUUUAUCGAUUUCAUUUACAAGUUAAACACAAAGAUAAACAAAAUGAAAACAUAAGAGCAAUUAUAAUAUCAAAAUUUAUCAAAUUGACAAAAAUGCUCCCCCCACAAUUUCUGAGAUACACUAAAAUUUAAAAUUAUGAAAUUUAAUCAUGUUAAAUAGAGUUUGAUUCAACAACAAAUAGAUACUCUAAACAAUUUAAAAAUUGAAUUUCAAUUAGAUAAUUUUGUGCAAAUAACAUAUGCAAUUAAAUAAUAUCUAUGCAGCAAUAUGCAAGCAAAAUCGCUGGGCACCAAUUUGAAAAUGCACCAACAUGAGCUCACCUAUCAACAUGUUCUAUGGAAAACAUAGCAUAGCAUAGGUAACAUCUAGCUUUCAUUUGGAUUUCACAAUUACCAAAAAUUAUAAAAUUUACCUUUCAAUGUGGCAAAAAAGAAUUCAGUACAAAAUACCUUUUUAGGAGUAUAUACUGUAGCAAUCUUCUUUUUUUCUUUUUUUUUUUAAAAAUAAUCUGUACAAUGUCAUUGUGGAAAACAAAGUAAAAUGGAUUUUACCUGAUCAUAUCAAAAAAUUCGCACACUAAAAAUUUUUUUACUGUAGCAAAAUUGUUUAAAAAAUUAAUUUUGCUGUAGCACAAAUAGUAGACAUGAAAUAAAAUGCAAACGGAUUAUAUGCAAUUAAUUUUUAAAAAUGCUAAUCCUGAUUAAUUUAACUUUGUAUGUCAAUCAUACAAAUAAGUUAUCAAACAAAAUAUAUGCAAAAUAUAUAUGUAUAUAUUUUAAUGGAUUAGCACCGUCAAAUUUAAUCACAAUCAGAUAGGGAACUACGCCUUAGAUUGUUAGAACAAAUACCGCAACGAAAAUCUAAUUGUGAUUUAAAUCUAACUAAAUAUUAUUAUGAAAAUAAAUAAAUACAAACUUACAGAUAAACGCAAAUCCAAAUAAAUAUUUAAUUGAUCCGGAAGCGUGCGAGGCACUGCCCUAAGGCGUAUUCCCGUCCUUACGUGCAGGAUUAAUCGGAAACACCGCCCCAAGGUACGACCGGAAUUCCUCCUACUGCGAGCACGAUCGUGAGGGAGGUUGACGGAGACUCUUUCAACACCCAGCGAUAAAAACGAUCAAAUGGAGUGGAUGAGAUUAAUAAAGGAAAAAUUAAAAUUAAUUCUUGAGAAAACUAUUCUGUUAGUCAAAAGCUCUCUUGCCUCCCUUUUUUUCCAACUGGGAGAGCUACAGUCGCACUUUAUCAUAUAUGUGAUGACAAAAUUAGAACGUUGGAGGU